UCAGUGCAGUUCCCGUCUCAAAAAAGCAAGAUUUUCAAUUUUGAUGAAUUUUUUGGUUGUUAAUUGGAAAACAAGAUGACGCUGCUGUGCCACUAUUUACUUGCUGACUAUGUGGGAGCGGUGAAAGCUGUGUUCGAAAGUUUUUGUUAAAUAUGUCAUAUUCCCAUGGAAAACUUAAGAAAAUCUAAUGGUGCUUCUGUACGUUUUCAUCCCUGAGUGUGUUUUAGAAGUGAAGCCCACAGUAUGCUUGGUGUUUAUGGUACAUGUCUUUUAAUCACCUAUGUCAGCUGACAAACCAAAAAACUAUUAGCAACCUACUAUGUUGCAUCAUCAAACUGUACGAGUGCUCAUUGAGAGGUAUAAGACUAAUGUUUUGUUAUCAGAAUCUCAUUGCCGAAUUUUGCUUUUAAGGUUUAGCUCAUGAAACUUCAUUUGUAAAGAAUACUUCCUGUUGAGGAAUGUCACCAAAGAUUCAAAUCCUAUGAGUAGGAAUACCAUAAUAUCAUUCUUCUACUCUUUAACCACUCAUGGUCUUCUGUCAAUCGUGAUCUGAGUGGUGCACCAUUCUUACUAAGAUUUAAAAAUUCUUCUCUCAUAUUCAUCUUUGUUGGAGUGUCAACUGUAACAACAGUCAUUUCGGCAGUUGUAAUCUCUACUUAGCCUACCAACAGACAUAGACAUGUACCUCAACACAAUUUCUACUGAACUGCCACCUCUUAGCCGUUUGCUGCCUAUUUGCUGGCCCUACAGUCUUUCUAGCCUUUGAACAGCAGAAAACAAAGCCUUCUUCGUCUUCGCCACGCUCGUCGUCACCUCGCCCGUCAUCCCGUCUUCGCUUCGGCCGUCGUCCCGUCUUCGCUUCGCCCGUCUUCGCCUCGCCAGUCGCCCCGUCUUCGCCUCGCCCGUCGCCCCUUCUUCGCCUCGUGGUCGCGCCGUCUUCACCUCGCCCGUCGCCCCUUCUUCGCCUCGCCCGUCGUCCCGUCUCCGCCUCGCCCAUCGCCCGGUCUUCGCGUCGUGGCCACGCCGUCUUCGCCUCCCCUAUCGCCCCUUCGUCACCUCGUGGUCGCCUCGUCUUCGUGGUAUGGUUGUGUUUUGUCUUAUGUUGUAUUAUGUCUUGCAAAUUAACCCGUUGGCUGCCACCCACCCACUUUGAUCCCCUUUUUUUUGUAGCUUGACAGGGACGGGCCGCGCUGUUCUGCUCCAUGGUCUAUCUGCCAUGGGGUGGAGCAGCGCCACUGCCCAAGAUUGGCCGAAUGGCCCCAGGCAAUGCACCACAGGGAAUCCCUUGACCGAGACGGCGAUGUAGACCUGGGAUGUGCAUUUCCGUAAAGGUCUCAUCGCCGUCUCAGCCCGGCCCACCCGGCCCCCUUGGUCGCUAUCCCUUUGAUAGCGACAGUAGCUAUUGUAGAUAGGUGGCGUGGCAGCCAACGGGUUAGUUUUAAGUGUAUUUGU